rnacentral:tRNA from 1 species
ACUUGAACCCUCACGGUCUAUAAAGCCAACGGAUUUUAAGUCCGUAGCGUUCC